rnacentral:lncRNA from 7 species
GGAUCACAGAAUUUGUUUGUGAAGACUGGAAAAGAGAGACAAGAAGAGGAUCUAAAUGUAAAACCUUGCUCUGAACCACCACUGUCAACUUCCUGCCCUCCAAUAAAUGAUCCAGAGCUACUCCACAUCAGGAUGGAAAUGUUAGGCACUAAAAACCACUGCUUGCAUGACAUCAUUCCAUAACAGAUUACACUGUAAUGUUUGGAAUGUAAUCAUUAGCAUCUAAACAUGCAUAAAAUUUAAUUAACCUACUUACCAGUUUGCUUAGAACUUUUGAAGGGCUACCUAGAGUCCUCUCUAAGCAUUUUAUUGCAGAGUUUUGGAAAGCUCACAAAAGAGAGAAGUUCACUGGGAUUUUUCUCCCUAAAGCUGAUGAGCCAUGACAGAUGAGCAGAUGACCCGAGUUAAUUAUUAUUGAAUUCGUUAUUACUGCUUUGUUGUCACCCAGCUCAGCCAGGGUAAAAUGAUGACAGUAGGUAUCUCAUUAAAACAGCUGUUUCAAUUAUGUAGCGGCAAAUAUUUAAAAAGCGGGCCUUCCAAGUUUAAAGCUGUUAGCAAAGUUUGUUUGUGCUGGUUGUGCCAAGAUUCUUUGACCAAAAAAGGAAGGGAGAAAUAUAGUGUCCAUCUUAAUUGAUUUGGGUAGGAGAAUAGGGACACUAGGCAGUAGAACAUGGAAGAUUGAAUAUGAGCUUCAUACAAAUUUCCAGAGUCUUUGUGUGAUUAUUUUUUUCAUCUUUCACUAAACUGAGUUUUGUUUACUGUACAUCAGUUACAUUUAGACAGUGUGACAGAAGAGCAGUGUUUGUGUUGAUUUCUUUCCAGCUGGAGGAAGUGAUAUGACUGUAAGGUUUGGGCUGGUUGAUUUUUGUUGUUGGUUUGUGUUUAUUGUAUUUUUUAACUGUUUAUUGUUUACUUGUUGACAUAUUUAUUUUUUCAUUUUGAGCAUUAGGAGUUUUAUGUCCUCCUUUAUGGACAAGUGUAAGUCCUUUCUCUUAGAUGUUGUUUCAAAGUCUUUAAAAAAGCAUUUAGAUAUGUAAACGGGGGAAAAAAAAACCUGUUAUUUUGCUACUGUAACAUUUUCCCUAAUAUGGCUUGCACAUUCAUUUUCUGCACUUUUGAUUCAGUGUACUUCUCAAUGAGUGUAAAAAUUGUUUAGAUUUUACACCUUUCUGCCUUCAUUUUGGUUAUAUUUCUUUGGGAUGAGUGUAAAAGGACAAAGUUUUAUAAUAAAGAAUUGU